CCCACAAGGCCACAACGCUCGCCCCCACGCACUCUCAAACCCGUCACCGUCCUGCUCUCACCACGGCUGCCCUGUCUCCCAGCCGUUCCCCAUUCUAGCUCUGUACUCGCCAACUCCCUCUCUCGACAUCCUCCCUACCUCCAGGCUCCAGCGCGAGGACUCGCAGCCCUACUCUUCCUCGCCCCUUCCCGUCGAAUCCGGUCGCCGAACUGCACGAGGAGGCGCUCGAGCUCGUCAUGCUCACGGGCGAGCCAGUCUUAGGCGCCGUCGGAGGCACGGGACUCACCGGCGGGGACGCCCUGCCCUGCCUGGCCUCACCCGCGGUGAGACACGCCGUCGGCGUCUCCCGCGCCCAGCUCCGAGUAUGAAGGCGUGGAGCAAGAUGGCCGUGGCAGCGGGUUGUGGUGGUCGUCCUCGGGGAGGCGGCGACAACUAUGGCGCUGAGUGUUGGAGGUUGGUGCGUCCACGGGGGAAGUUGAAGAGCGAGGGCGUGAGGGGCUGGCCAUCCUCGCGCAACCAGUGCAGUGCAAAGGGGGCUUCAAUCCCGUCUGAUGCAGUUAUUCUUGGGGUUCCCGUAUAAGAGAAUCUACAGUGCUCAGCUCAGCCUACCUUCAGUUCUGACGGCGUCGCCCAUGGAUCCUCAGGUCAGUUUAGGUCAAUUUGGGUACGUUUCCUGCUUUAGGGUCAUGCAAUGUCAAUCUAGGAGCAUGUGAAAAUAAAUUCAGUCAUUAUCUGGCGCGAGGCCGUGCAAAGGCAGGCAGGCAAGAAGGGACGCUGAUCUAUCAUCCAUGGAUUCGCGUUUUCUCAAGCUGGUCAUCUGCCCGGAAAUGCAAAGCCUUCUGAUAGUUGAAUCUCUUAAGUUGUGUGCUAUAGUGAACUGACACUUUAAUUAUUUGGAAAACUGGAUUGGCUCCAUCAAGACUCGAUCGGCUGAUUUAAAUCUUGAUAAUUUUUCUUCCCAGCGAUCUCAUCCUUUAGAAAAUUCGAUCAUGUAAUUGGCAGUGUAUUUGUGGGCAUAAUUUCAUGAAGUCGCUAUUUAGCAAAACAAAAAAAAAACAUGCUAGGAAAAAAUGGGAGCGCUCUCCAAGACUAAUCUAAUGCAUUAGUGUAACAUAUGCUCAAGAAUUAUCUCCAUUCCUGUUUCCGAGCUGUGGUUUGGUCUGGGCCAGGGUGAUCUUUCCGAGCUAGAUAUGAGGAUGAACUUAGUUGGUUAUAGUGAUCUGCUUCUAUCUGCCAGCUGCAGCCAUAGACACAGCUUCUGUUUUGAAUUUCCUGUAUAUUUCAUACUUGAAGAUAAUAAGACUGAUCAUGUAAGCGCAGCUGCCAUCUUCUGCUAAUGUUCCAAUCAUGAAAGUAGGCACAGCUAUAAUUGAGAGUUUAUCCAGAUCGAUGAACCUCGAGCAAGCGGCCGUGACCCACAUCACCUGACCUCGAGCAAGCGACCGUGACCCACAUCACCUGACCUUGACCCACAUCGAACAAGAGUGCAAAUCGACCAUGACGUCCAGCCUCGACCACAAGUAUUUCUUCACCCACCGCUGAUUGUGAUGAUUGGGUUGCCAUCAUGAUUCAUAGAGGAUAAGCACCAGCAACGAGGAACUGGGAAGGAGAGGUUGAUACUUGAGAUAGGUUCUACAAUAGCAAUGGUGGUGGCAGCGUCUUGCAAUUCACAUAAAUGGGGUGGAGAAUAGCAAGGAUUAAUCUUCAAAUCCAACUAGCCAACACUUCACAAUGUAUGGCUACGAUGGUGGCAGAAUGGAGGAGCUCAUUGUGUUCUGUAAGAUGGCUGUGUGGUAUGUGGAGUGAAGAUGCAUCUAGCAUCAACUUCUUAGUUAUUGAGGACACCUUUACUUGGUGGUGCUACCGGCGCCCAAAUAUCUCAUUUCUCUUGAUUAUAUAGUGAAAGUAAUUCACUCAUGUUCGCCCAAAUUCCCAAAUUUUUAUAUUUGAAAAGUUUGGUCUGAUCAAAUAUGUUAAAUAUUGACACAUACUCCCUCCAUCCGUAAUUACUUGUCAUUCAAACAGAUGUGCUAGAUACAUCCGUUUGGCCGAUAAGUAAUUCCGGAUGCAGGGAAUAUUUGACUAUGCCUAUUAUUUUUUAUUGCUCUUGGUGGGAAGGGAUAAGUGUUAUGAAUUGUUGCUAUUGUUGUGAGAAACAUAUAUUGUUGAGCUUACAGAUAAGCACAUAGAGGAUGCAAAAUAUAAUAUUACUUAUGUGUUGUUGUGCUAUUUCAUCUCCUAAAUUCGAUGCAAUGAAGUGAAUAAGGAGGUGGUGCUCAAGGGAACAAAGGGUAGAAGAAUAUACGAAUAUACAAUCUGACCUGUUAGGAGUGGCUUCACAAAAACUAAGGUCUAAAAAGUUUGGAUGAUGCACAUUAAUUGAGUUUUUUGUUAAUUCAUUUAAUUCCAAAGUAUAUCGCAAGACUUGCUUUGCUGAUGCCAAAGCCCAUUAGCAGCAAUGCAAUGCUUUUGAUUUUGAGCAAAGUUAUACAGCCAAGGAAACUGGAUUUCCUUUCCGUCGAUGUAAAUAUUUUACUGUCCCCUAAUCUUUCUCCUGACCCAAUAUAUUUGCAGAUAUCUAUGUAUUUCUGAUCUUUGUGGAGGCUGCUUAUCUCACAGUUUUUUCUGUCUAUCCCACCUAGUAGGAAAAUAGAUUGUAUAUAAUAUUAAUUCAGUCGAACAACAUGAGUAUCGUGCCUGCCUACUGUAGUUAUUUUUGACAAUAUGAUUUGUUCACACAUCAUUACAAGGUUCCUUAAAACUACCUUUGUAGAUAUUUCAAAUCAAGGUCUAGGAGGAUUCAGCCAAUCAUACUUUCAAACCAGCAGAGAAUGUGAAAGAAAAUAUUUGUAUUUAGGCUUACUAACUGUUAACAAACAAUGCGGUUCUCAUAUGAAUGUGUGUAAUUUUAUUCUAUUCAUCACUGUGUAAAUCACAAGAGAGCUGUGCAAUUAGGUUCUUGUCAUACUGGUGAGGAUAGUGCACUAUUCCCAUAUUGCUUUGCUCAAUAUUGAAGCACCGGGGCCUUCUUGCUCUGUGCAACAACUAACACUCUUUAUUGCCACUAUGGCCGUGAAUCUUUAACCAUACGGAUGUGCUCGAGCUGUUUUAUAGUAUCACAUAAUGACCAUUCUUCUAUUUGCAGCCUAUGGCUGCUCUGAUGGUUGGAGCCAGCAGCUUGGCCUGGUACCAUGCACAACAGUCCCAUCGAACCUAUCAUCGCCACCCGAUGUAGUGUGGCGAAGGCACCGUCAAUGAAGAGAAGAAAGAUUGUCGCCCAGGUUGUUGUGCAUGGGUUCUGUGAUUGCUACUAACAUUAGGAAAUAGAUGCAAAUGAAGCUAAAUUGCAGCUUACAAGAUUUUGAUAAAGAAAUACAUUUUAUAUUGAGCGAAGAUAUGUAAUAAAGCCAUCUAUGUACCCUAAGUAGUUACCGAUUGUAUUGAUUGUUCUGAAAAUUUCAAUUGAUCAACA